rnacentral:rRNA from 1 species
UCGAGCGGGGAAGGGUAGCUUGCUACCUAACCUAGCGGCGGACGGGUGAGUAAUGCUUAGGAAUCUGCCAUUUAGUGGGGGACAACAUUCCGAAAGGAAUGCUAAUACCGCAUACGUCCUACGGGAGAAAGCAGGGGAUCUUCGGACCUUGCGCUAAAUGAUGAGCCUAAGUCGGAUUAGCUAGUUGGUGGGGUAAAGGCCUACCAAGGCGACGAUCUGUAGCGGGUCUGAGAGGAUGAUCCGCCACACUGGGACUGAGACACGGCCCAGACUCCUACGGGAGGCAGCAGUGGGGAAUAUUGGACAAUGGGCGGAAGCCUGAUCCAGCCAUGCCGCGUGUGUGAAGAAGGCCUUAUGGUUGUAAAGCACUUUAAGCGAGGAGGAGGCUACUUAGAUUAAUACUCUAGGAUAGUGGACGUUACUCGCAGAAUAAGCACCGGCUAACUCUGUGCCAGCAGCCGCGGUAAUACAGAGGGUGCGAGCGUUAAUCGGAUUUACUGGGCGUAAAGCGUGCGUAGGCGGCUUUUUAAGUCGGAUGUGAAAUCCCCGAGCUUAACUUGGGAAUUGCAUUCGAUACUGGGAAGCUAGAGUAUGGGAGAGGAUGGUAGAAUUCCAGGUGUAGCGGUGAAAUGCGUAGAGAUCUGGAGGAAUACCGAUGGCGAAGGCAGCCAUCUGGCCUAAUACUGACGCUGAGGUACGAAAGCAUGGGGAGCAAACAGGAUUAGAUACCCUGGUAGUCCAUGCCGUAAACGAUGUCUACUAGCCGUUGGGGCCUUUGAGGCUUUAGUGG